UAUGCUUGUCUCAAGCUUAAGCCAUGCAAGUCUCAGUACAAACUAACUUAAAGUGAAACCGCAAAAGGCUCAGUAAACCAGUCAUGAUUCACUCGAGUAUACAUGACUGUCUUUGGAUAACUGUGGUAAUCCUAGAGCUAAUACAUGCAACCAAGUCCCGACCAGUCUGACUGGGAAGGACGCUUUUAUUAGAUCAAGACCAAUCGCUCGGCUCGUUCGGGCGUAGCCUUGGUGACUCUAGGUAACACAUCAGAUCGCAUGGUCUUUGCACCGGCGACUUAUCCUUCAAAUGCCUGACUUAUCAACUGUCGAUGGUAGACUCUAUGUCUACCAUGGUUGUAACGGGUAACGGGGAAUCAGGGUUCGAUUCCGGAGAGGGAGCCUGAGAAACGGCUACCACAUCCAAGGAAGGCAGCAGGCACGCAAAUUACCCACUCCCGGCACGGGGAGGUAGUGACAAAAAAUAACGAUACGGGACUCUUAUGAGGCCCCGUAAUCGGAAUGAGUACACUUUAAAUCCUUUAACAAGGAUCCAUUGGAGGGCAAGUCUGGUGCCAGCAGCCGCGGUAAUUCCAGCUCCAAUAGCGUAUAUUAAAGUUGUUGCGGUUAAAAAGCUCGUAGUUGGUUCUGCGUGCUACGCUGUCGGUUCGCCGCCUGCCGGUGUAACUGGCAUGCCGUGGCAUGUCCUGUCGGUGGCGUGCGGGAGCCUUGUCUAGGUGACGGUCCUUGCCCAAAGCUUGGUACCGGAGGCCGGAGGUCCAACCCGUGCGCCUUCUCUAUCCUACCUAGGUGCUCUUCACCGAGUGUCGAGGUAGGCCGACACGUUUACUUUGAACAAAUUAGAGUGCUCAAAGCAGGCUGAAAUCUCUGCCUGAAUAGUGGUGCAUGGAAUAAUAAAACAGGACCUUGGUUCUAUUUUGUUGGUUCUUAGGAACACAAGGUAAUGAUCAAUACGGACAGGCGGGGGCAUUCGUAUUGCGACGUUAGACUUGGCAAAUGCUUUCGCUUAAAGGAAUUGACGGAAGGGCACCACCAGGAGUGGAGCCUGCGGCUUAAUUUGACUCAACACGGGAAACCUCACCAGGCCAGGACAUUGGAAGGAUUGACAGAUUGAUAGCUCUUUCUUGAUUCAGUGGGUAGUGGUGCAUGGCCGUUCUUAGUUGGUGGAUCGAUUUGUCUGGUUAAUUCCGAUAACGAACGAGACUCUAGCCUAUUAACUAGGCGUUUACCGGUGUCCUCGCCACCGGCGACACUCAUUCUUCUUAAGGGGACAGGCGGCUUAUAGCCGCACGAGAUUGAGCAAUAACAGGUCUGUAAUGCCCUUAGAUGUCCUGGGCCGCACGCGCGCUACACUGAAGGAAUCAGCGUGUGCCUCCCUGGCCGAAAGGCCCGGGUAAUCCGCUGAACCUCCUGCGUGCUAGGAAUUGGGGCUUGCAAUUGUUCCCCAUGAACGAGGAAUUCCCAGUAAGCGCGAGUCAUAAGCUCGCGUUGAUUACGUCCCUGCCCUUUGUACACACCGCCCGUCGCUACUACCGAUUGAAUGAUUUAGUGAGGUCUUCGGACUGGCGGUAAUCCCUAUCGACUUGUCGGUAUCGAUGAACGCUGGAAAGAUGACCAAACUUGAUCAUUUAGAGGAAGUAAAAGUCGUAACAAGGUUUCCG
rnacentral:rRNA from 1 species